UCAAGCGAACAAGUGCAUGUGGUGGAUGCCUUGGCGAUCACAGGCGAUGAAGGACGCGGUAGCCUGCGAAAAGCUACGGGGAGCUGGCAAACAAGCUUUGAUCCGUAGAUGUCCGAAUGGGGAAACCCACUCCUUUUGGAGUAUCCAUGGCUGAAUACAUAGGCCAUGUGAAGCGAACGCGGUGAACUGAAACAUCUAAGUAACCGCAGGAAAAGAAAUCAACCGAGAUUCCCAAAGUAGUGGCGAGCGAAAUGGGAUGAGCCUUGCACUCUUUAUUUGUAUUGUUAGCCGAACGCUCUGGAAAGUGCGGCCAUAGCAGGUGAUAGCCCUGUAGGCGAAAACAGUAUGAAAGAACUAGGUGUGCGACAAGUAGGGCGGGACACGUGAAAUCCUGUCUGAAGAUGGGGGGACCAUCCUCCAAGGCUAAAUACUCGUGAUCGACCGAUAGUGAACCAGUACCGUGAGGGAAAGGCGAAAAGAACCCCGGGAGGGGAGUGAAAUAGAUCCUGAAACCGCAUGCAUACAAACAGUCGGAGCCUCGUAAGGGGUGACGGCGUACCUUUUGUAUAAUGGGUCAGCGACUUACGUUCAGUAGCAAGCUUAACCGUAUAGGGCAGGCGUAGCGAAAGCGAGUCCGAAUAGGGCGUUCAGUUGCUGGGCGUAGACCCGAAACCAGGUGAUCUAUCCAUGGCCAGGAUGAAGGUGCGGUAACACGUACUGGAGGUCCGAACCCACUAACGUUGAAAAGUUAGGGGAUGAGCUGUGGAUAGGGGUGAAAGGCUAAACAAACCUGGAAAUAGCUGGUUCUCUCCGAAAACUAUUUAGGUAGUGCCUCGUGUCUCACCUUCGGGGGUAGAGCACUGUCAUGGUUGGGGGGUCUAUUGCAGAUUACCCCGCCAUAGCAAACUCCGAAUACCGAAGAGUGCAAUCACGGGAGACAGACAUCGGGUGCUAACGUCCGGUGUCAAGAGGGAAACAACCCAGACCGCCAGCUAAGGUCCCCAAAUAUAGCUAAGUGGGAAACGAAGUGGGAAGGCUAAAACAGUCAGGAGGUUGGCUUAGAAGCAGCCACCCUUUAAAGAAAGCGUAAUAGCUCACUGAUCGAGUCGUCCUGCGCGGAAGAUGUAACGGGGCUAAGCUAUAUACCGAAGCUGCGGAUGCGUGCUUAGCACGCAUGGUAGGAGAGCGUUCCGUAAGCCUGCGAAGGUGCCUUGUAAAGGGUGCUGGAGGUAUCGGAAGUGCGAAUGCUGACAUGAGUAGCGAUAAAGGGGGUGAAAGGCCCCCUCGCCGUAAGCCCAAGGUUUCCUACGCAACGUUCAUCGGCGUAGGGUGAGUCGGCCCCUAAGGCGAGGCAGAAAUGCGUAGCUGAUGGGAAGCAGGUCAAUAUUCCUGCACCAUUGUUAGAUGCGAUGGGGGGACGGAUCGCGGAAGGUUGUCCGGGUGUUGGAAGUCCCGGUCGCUGCAUUGGAGAAGGCGCUUAGGCAAAUCCGGGCGCGGAAUUCAAGGGUGUGGCGCGAGCUCCUUAGGGAGCGAAGCAAUUGGAAGUGGUUCCAAGAAAAGCCUCUAAGCUUCAGUCUAAUGAUGACCGUACCGCAAACCGACACAGGUGGGCGAGAUGAGUAUUCUAAGGCGCUUGAGAGAACUCGGGAGAAGGAACUCGGCAAAUUGGUACCGUAACUUCGGGAUAAGGUACGCCCUUGUAGCUUGACUGGCUUGCGCCAGAAGGGUGAAGGGGUUGCAAUAAACUGGUGGCUGCGACUGUUUAAUAAAAACACAGCACUCUGCAAACACGAAAGUGGACGUAUAGGGUGUGACGCCUGCCCGGUGCCGGAAGAUUAAAUGAUGGGGUGCAAGCUCUUGAUUGAAGUCCCGGUAAACGGCGGCCGUAACUAUAACGGUCCUAAGGUAGCGAAAUUCCUUGUCGGGUAAGUUCCGACCUGCACGAAUGGCGUAACGAUGGCCACACUGUCUCCUCCCGAGACUCAGCGAAGUUGAAGUGUUUGUGAUGAUGCAAUCUACCCGCGGCUAGACGGAAAGACCCCAUGAACCUUUACUGUAGCUUUGCAUUGGACUUUGAACCGAUCUGUGUAGGAUAGGUGGGAGGCUAUGAAACCGGAACGCUAGUUUCGGUGGAGCCGUCCUUGAAAUACCACCCUGGUUUGUUUGAGGUUCUAACCUUGGCCCGUGAUCCGGGUCGGGGACAGUGCAUGGUAGGCAGUUUGACUGGGGCGGUCUCCUCCCAAAGCGUAACGGAGGAGUACGAAGGUACGCUAGGUACGGUCGGAAAUCGUGCUGAUAGUGCAAUGGCAUAAGCGUGCUUAACUGCGAGACCGACAAGUCGAGCAGGUGCGAAAGCAGGUCAUAGUGAUCCGGUGGUUCUGUAUGGAAGGGCCAUCGCUCAACGGAUAAAAGGUACUCUGGGGAUAACAGGCUGAUACCGCCCAAGAGUUCAUAUCGACGGCGGUGUUUGGCACCUCGAUGUCGGCUCAUCUCAUCCUGGGGCUGUAGCCGGUCCCAAGGGUAUGGCUGUUCGCCAUUUAAAGAGGUACGUGAGCUGGGUUUAAAACGUCGUGAGACAGUUUGGUCCCUAUCUGCCGUGGGCGUUGGAUAUUUGAAGGGGGCUGCUCCUAGUACGAGAGGACCGGAGUGGACGAACCUCUGGUGUACCGGUUGUCACGCCAGUGGCAUCGCCGGGUAGCUAUGUUCGGAAGAGAUAACCGCUGAAAGCAUCUAAGCGGGAAACUCGCCUUAAGAUGAGAUAUCCCUGGGGACUAGAUCCCCUUGAAGGGUCGUUCGAGACCAGGACGUUGAUAGGUCAGGUGUGUAAGCGCAGUAAUGCGUUCAGCUAACUGAUACUAAUUGCCCGUAAGGCUUGAUCCU
rnacentral:rRNA from 1 species